rnacentral:rRNA from 1 species
UACAGAGGUCUCAAGCGUUGUUCGGAUUCAUUGGGCGUAAAGGGCGCGUAGGCUGCGGGGCAAGUCGGGUGUGAAAUCUCAGAGCUCAACUCUGAAACUGCACUCGAUACUGCUUUGCUUGAGGACUGGAGAGGAGAUUGGAAUUCACGGUGUAGCAGUGAAAUGCGUAGAUAUCGUGAGGAAGACCAGUGGCGAGGGCGGAUCUCUGGACAGUUCCUGACGCUGAGGCGCGAAGGCCAGGGGAGCAAACGGG